rnacentral:rRNA from 1 species
GAUGAACGCUGGCGGCGUGCCUAAUACAUGCAAGUCGAGCGAACAGAUGAGGAGCUUGCUCCUCUGACGUUAGCGGCGGACGGGUGAGUAACACGUGGAUAACCUACCUAUAAGACUGGGAUAACUUCGGGAAACCGGAGCUAAUACCGGAUAGUAUAUUGAACCGCAUGGUUCAAUAGUGAAAGACGGUUUUGCUGUCACUUAUAGAUGGAUCCGCGCCGCAUUAGCUAGUUGGUAAGGUAACGGCUUACCAAGGCAACGAUGCGUAGCCGACCUGAGAGGGUGAUCGGCCACACUGGAACUGAGACACGGUCCAGACUCCUACGGGAGGCAGCAGUAGGGAAUCUUCCGCAAUGGGCGAAAGCCUGACGGAGCAACGCCGCGUGAGUGAUGAAGGUCUUCGGAUCGUAAAACUCUGUCAUUAGGGAAGAACAAAUGUGUAAGUAACUAUGCACGUCUUGACGGUACCUAAUCAGAAAGCCACGGCUAACUACGUG